AUUAACUUUUAAAUGCAAUACCAUUUCUACCCUCUAAACUUCCCCCUAUAUAUAAUGGCUUUUACAAGUCCAAAUUCAUAAUCAUCAUCAACAAAUUCUUCAAAUUUUCAUUUUCCAUUGUGGAGCUAUUGUUGUUGGUUCACAAGAAACUCUUUAAAGGAUCAAUCAAAUUACAAAACAUGAGUAGGAGGAAUGGAAGUGGUCCAAAACUUGAUUUGAGGUUGAAUUUAUCACCACCUAGGGUUACGAACCAUCACAACCAUCACCAUCAGCACCAGCACCACAUUGAUCAAUCACCAAACAGGUCAUUGACAUCAUCACCAACAAGCUCAUGUGUUUCGUCAGAAGAUUCCCCAUCACGUCAGCAGCGCCACCAUGCAAACACCCCAGAAGUACCACCUAUGGUACUUGUGGGGUGUCCUAGGUGCUUGAUGUAUGUCAUGUUAGCUGAGGGUGAUUCAAGUUGCCCUAAAUGCAAAAGCACUUGUUUGCUUGAUGUUAUUCAUGAAUCCAACAAUAGGAGGAGGUUCACUUAGGUUCAUGAAAAAAAAAAUCAAGAAAGUUACUAUAAAAUAGUACUACUUGAGCUCCAUUUUUUUGGAUACAUGAUGAAAAUUAGAAAAAUGGGAAAUUUGGAGCUUAAAUAGUACUAUUUUUCUUUGUUAAAUUUUAAUAAUAUUUUUAUUUUUUUAAUUUAUGUUUUUGUUGGUCCCUUUUGUAGGAAAAAGUAGUAGUAGUAGUAAAGGUGUGGGGUUUAGUGAGUUUUAAGGAAUGUUACAUCUUAUGCAGAAGAAACUAUGUAAAUGGGCCAACUAGAAGUGCCCACAUUUUCUUAUGAAAAGAAAAAAAAAAAAAAUAUUAUAUUAGGUAAA